UGGUGAGGUAACGGCCCACCAAAGGCGACGAUCGGUAGCCGACCUGAGAGGGUGAUCGGCCACAUUGGAACUGAGAAACGGUCCAAACUCCUACGGGAGGCAGCAGUGGGGAAUAUUGGGCAAUGGGCGAAAGCCUGACCCAGCAACGCCGCGUGAGGGAAGAAGGUUUUCGGAUUGUAAACCUCUGUCCUCAGGGACGAAGGAAGUGACGGUACCUGAGGAGGAAGCCCCGGCUAACUACGUGCCAGCAGCCGCGGUAAUACGUAGGGGGCAAGCGUUGUCCGGAAUGACUGGGCGUAAAGGGCGUGUAGGCGGCCUGAUAAGUAUGAAGUGAAAGUCCUGCUUUCAAGGUGGGAAUUGCUUUGUAGACUGUCGGGCUUGAGUGCGGAAGAGGUAAGUGGAAUUCCCAGUGUAGCGGUGAAAUGCGUAGAGAUUGGGAGGAACACCAGUGGCGAAGGCGACUUACUGGGCCGUAACUGACGCUGAGGCGCGAAAGCGUGGGGAGCGAACAGGAUUAGAUACCCUGGUAGUCCACGCUGUAAACGAUGAAUGCUAGGUGUAGGGGGUAUCGACCCUUCCUGUGCCGGAGUAAACGCAAUAAGCAUUCCGCCUGGGGAGUACGGCCGCAAGGUUGAAACUCAAAGGAAUUGACGGGGGCCCGCACAAGCAGCGGAGCAUGUUGUUUAAUUCGAUGCAACGCGAAGAACCUUACCAGGUCUUGACAUCCAAUUAAAGUCAUAGAGAUAUGAUGUCUCUUCGGAGGAAUUGAGACAGGUGGUGCAUGGUUGUCGUCAGCUCGUGUCGUGAGAUGUUGGGUUAAGUCCCGCAACGAGCGCAACCCUUAUGAUCAGUUACUAACGGAUAAAGCCGAGGACUCUGAUAAGACUGCCGGGGACAACUCGGAGGAAGGUGGGGACGACGUCAAAUCAUCAUGCCCCUUAUGACCUGGGCUACAAACGUGCUACAAUGGCGACUACAAAGAGAAGCGAGUCUGUGAAGAUAAGCGGAUCUCAAAAAAGCCGUCCCAGUUCGGAUUGUGGGCUGCAACCCGCCCACAUGAAGUUGGAGUUGCUAGUAAUCGCGGAUCAGAAUGCCGCGGUGAAUACGUUCCCGGGCCUUGCACGGACCGCCCGUC
rnacentral:rRNA from 1 species